AGCGAACGCUGGCGGCAUGCCUAACACAUGCAAGUCGAACGAGACCUUCGGGUCUAGUGGCGCACGGGUGCGUAACGCGUGGGAAUCUGCCCUUGGUACGGAAUAACAGUUAGAAAUGACUGCUAAUACCGUAUAAUGACUUCGGUCCAAAGAUUUAUCGCCCAGGGAUGAGCCCGCGUAGGAUUAGCUUGUUGGUGAGGUAAAGGCUCACCAAGGCGACGAUCCUUAGCUGGUCUGAGAGGAUGAUCAGCCACACUGGGACUGAGACACGGCCCAGACUCCUACGGGAGGCAGCAGUGGGGAAUAUUGGACAAUGGGGGAAACCCUGAUCCAGCAAUGCCGCGUGAGUGAUGAAGGCCUUAGGGUGUAAAGCUCUUUA
rnacentral:rRNA from 1 species